CUACAAUUACACCAGGUGGUGCAGAUGGCUCUCCAGGGGAAGAAUAACAAAUAUUACAGAGAUAACCCAUCUGUGAUGGCUAUUCUUACUUGGCUAUAUCUGGGAUUAAUUAAAACCCCAAGUCACUGGGCACAGGUCUGUGUGUGUGUGUGUGUGUGUGUGUGUGUGUGUGUGUGUGUGUGUGUAUGCGCGCGUGCAUGAAUUAGAUCAUUUGAGGUAAAGACUAACCUAAGAUCCAGUUCACUUAAGAUCAGAAGACCAACCUUAAUCUGUGCUUAUCUUCGUGUGGCCCACCCUGUCAUCUGCUGUCCUCACAGACACUGAAGAGGAGGGGCAUAGGUCUGGAUGGUGCUGAGCUGGAGGCAGAUGAGGGGCCAGAGGGUGGGGGAGGGAAGCUUCUGAAGACUCCAGGAGGUGACAGAGGCCUGGCUUUGCUCCUGCCUCCUCCCUGUUCCCUCUUCAAAUCCCUCUGGCCCCAAACACACUUCCAAAACAGAGUUUGAGGCUGAAAGUCAGAGUAGUGGUAAAGAGCCAGGAGGGAGAGCCACCUUUGUGACAGCUGAUCUUGCUGGGUGCCUGAGGAAUCAGUUCCUGAGAAGAAAUAGGUUUUAUGACCCGGGCUUUGAAGAACAUGUAAGAGUUCAACAAACAAGUCUUCCCACCACCGUUUCUCAGAUGAUCUGACACCCCAUGCUCCAUAAAGAGAGGUCUCUGCCCUGAACCAGGCUACAGAUCAGCGAUGGAGCCCACCCAGCACCUCCCGGCCUUAGGUAUAGGCCUGAGAGGAGAGUGACCCUCUCCUUCAUUUUCCUACUUCUCUGUCUGCAGGGUGGCCCCAGUGAUGUCCCACUCAGAGCUGUCAUACCAGGUCCCACCUGCUCCUUGGCUACAGGCUAAGGCCUGGGUGACUAGCAGGCUCAGUGGGGGGUGGGGAGGAGGGCAGCAGCGGCGAGAAAGCAGGGCGCAAGGAUCUUCAGCUCCGGUCUCGGUCUCGCUGGUUGACUCAGCCGCCUCUCUCUCUUUGGCUUCCUCUCCCAGGCCUGGAACUCCCCAUCUUCUCCCCGAGCCACCAAGUUGGCAAGACUCUCCCACCCCUGUACCUGCCAACUGAUGGGUGGAGGCUAGAACUGCUUGGUGUCCUGAGGAACCUGCGCACUCAGGUACCCGUCCUGGGUAACUUAGCUUCUAGCAGCAGAGGCUCCGCAGUGCACCCGCCCCAUCGGACUUGUCUGCUUCUCUGGGUCCCUUGCCCCGACCCAGAUGCAUCCACAUCCGCAUCCGCAGGGCAGAAUUAUGACAAGAGCCCUGUUCAGUUAGCUUCGGUCCGCGGAUUGCAGCCCGGGAGCCGCCUCUUUGCACCUCCUGCAGCCCUCAGCCUAGUCCCUGCCCUCCCAGGAGAGUGUUCCCCUGGGACAGAGGAGAUGGCAGAUAAAGGCGCCUGUUCAGUUCCCAGAAGAAAAAACACACAUGGUGGAAGGAGAAAAGCCAACUGAUCUUGCAAGUUCACCUCUGACCUCCACAAGUGCACUGAUAUGCCUCCUUUCCUCAGUACAUAAGUAAAUGUAAAACCAAGUUUUUAAAAAUGGUUCCUUAAACUCAGCUCUCCCUUCCCACCUGCUGGGUCUUUGGGAUGCUAGUGACUGUCUGUAUGCAGCCCUCCCCAGGCUAUGCACCUUGGACAUGGCUGGGGUGGGAGGAAGGGGGUUGGCUGUGGGUCCUGUUUUUGAGGCUAUUCAGUCUCAGAGACCAAGAAACUAAGAUUCAAAGAGCACCUGCUGUGCUUGCUGGAGGCUGAAGCUGGGCUGUGAAGCUGAAAGGGACAUUGGUGACUUCAGCAGUGGGCUUCAGGGUUCUAGAAAGAUUCCCAGGGCUUCCAUAGCCCAGACUCCAUAGCCCAGACUGACUCAGACAUUAAGACUAGAGAAGACCUUGCCACUUUACUGUGCCAUGUUUAGUCAUCCAGAGAAGCUGUAGGAUUCCCAAGGAAAGUGUUUUCUGUGCGGUUGCUGUAUCAGAAAUGGAGGAAUCACCCUCAGCUCCCAUCUCCUGCACUCUUCACCUGAAUCUACAAUUUCACUUUUAGCCCUAACUCAACUUCAUCCUUUCCCCAGUUUGUCCAUUGUCCAGGUCCUUGUCACAUCCUAAUCUUUGCCCUGCCUUUGGGAGCAAUCCGGUUUGGACCUGCUUGGACUAGUUUGGACUAGCUUGAUCCUGUUUAAGAGCCUGCCUGUUUAAUCCAGUUUACACUGGUUUAAUCCAGUUUGGACAUGUUUAAUUAAUUUCAUCUCAAUUAAGAUACCCCCUUUCAAGAUAUGUCUAGGUUUGUGUCACAUUGACACAAAUUAACAAUUUCUUUCCAGAUUGAUAAUUUUUAAAAAAGAUUUAUUUAUUAUAUAUAAGUACACUAUAGCUCUCUUCAGGCACACCAGAAGAGGGCAUCAGAUCUCAUUACAGAUGGUUGUGAGCCACCAUGUGUGAUUUGAACUCAGGACCUCUGGAAGAGCAGUCAGUGCUCUUAACCACAUAGCCAUCUCUCCAACCCCAGAUUGAUAAUUUUUAAUUUUGUUUUAAGUAAAUCACUUAUAUAGUUUUCCCUAAUACUUUUCACAUAUAUUUGUCAUUUCUAUUAUAUAUAUGUAUCUAUAAAGCCUAAGAAUAUUUUGAGUGAUUCUUUUAGAAAGGCUCCAUCUAUGUACUGUCCUGAAGCUGGAUCCCUCAGGUGUCAGGUAUGCUAACAUGUUUGCAAUCUGCCUGGGUCAUUCAGCUUCUGUGAGCUGUACAGUUGUGGAGUUUUACCUGAGCUGAUUAUUUACCUCUUAGGUAACUUUAGGGAGGACAGGGGCUUUGGGAGGAGCUCCUGAAGGCUGGUGAGCCUCAUGAAAUACCCCCUCUCUCCAGUAGGGGAUGCUCCUAGACCCAGUUUCCUGAGGGCUACCUACAGCUACUCUUUAUUCAAGAUGGAAAAUUUCACAUCCACCUUGAAAGGAACAAGUAUGCAAUAAUGUAUUUUAUAAUGUAAAUCCAAAAGAAAGUACUCCCAGGUAAUGUCGGUAUCUUUUAAUCUUUUGCCCCAAAAUGUAAUUGUUUUGCCUUCUUGCCCCUUUCCAUUUCACAACAUUUACAUAGAAAACUUUUAAUAAGACAGUCAUUUACAUAGCCAACAAGUUGGGCAGGGCAGGAUAUAGGUAGACAUCAGCCUGGUGCUGUGGGAGCCAAAGCCUGCUAAAGGGUGAAGUGACAUUCACAUAGGGCAAGCCUGAAUGUGCAUGGUAAGGAUCUAUCUUCACAAACUGGGGCAAUGUUGGUGAUGAGAGACGCGCUGUGUAAAACAGCUUGAACCAUCAAUUAGAUCAGUAGAGAAAUGGGCUCCACUACAGAAAAGACAGCAAUUAGUUCUUCAGUGAUGGACUUGAGAUAGGUCCAUGACCUUAAGUUUUGAAUAGUGUCAGUUCUGUUGUGACAUAUGCCCCAGUAAAUGCUAUUAUGCCUUAGAAAGUCACACAAGACAAUCAAGAGUUUAUUGAAAAACAAAGUUGGAACAGGAAACUCAAAAUGUUUCCUCAGGGACACACACGUGCAUCUGAGACAGGGAACUGUUGAACAUGGCAGUACAGUUUAUGGACAACAGAUGCAAGGAUGAACAAACGUGGGUCUAUACCUAGCAAAGGACCUAAAGUGUCUAUAACAUAAGCAUCAGGAGGAUCACAGCUUUGGGGUUAUUUUGAGGUAGAUGUCACAAAACACCUAAUAAAUACAACUUAAGGAAGGAAGGGCUCAUGUUGGCUCGUGGUUUGAAAGCUUACAGUCCUCGGUGGAACUAAACACCGUGGUGGGGGUUGGAAGCGUUUUCUACCAAUGAAUGGUCUCUGAAAGCACCAUAUCAGAUAAGCCCAGAGAUGUGUUGUGGGACAAUGAAAGGUACCCUGGUUCCUGGUUGAGGAGGCUUGAACCCCAGAUACCCUGAAAGGGAUGGUAGGUGUUUCACCUGACUCCCAGGAAACCAGGCUGGUCACUAGCAGCAGUCACAUAAAGGGCAACACCACAGGCCCCUCCACAGGUAGAGGAUGUAAGCUCAAGACAGAUCUCCAUUAUAAUGAGGUCUCUAAGUUUAGGCCUGGAGGCUUAGCCAAUGAAUUUCCCUUCUCAGACAAUCCUCCCUGCAAAAGGUAUUUAAUCUCAGGCCCACUCUGAGAAGUGGGGUCUGGUUUUACUCCUCCACUUUCUGCCAUGACAAUAAAUGCCUUAAAACCACUGAUUGUCUCUUCAUUGGGAUCCACCAUGGGAAGCCAUGGAGAAGCCCUUCGCCUACAGAGCCACCAUCUAAUCUCCUGCAGAAGACCUCCCGGUGCUCCCAGCCACCUCCACCCAGCAGCACCUGGAUGCCCAGCCUGAGAAUCAGACAGCCCAGCCUCCUUGCAGGCCCAGGAACCCCCACCCAGCCAGCUCUCACACUCAGACUGCAUUUCCACCCCCAGGAGUGGUGUCCUGUGGCUUCCCACAGCCCAACACCAGCCAGGGGCAGCAUGGGGUAAGUGCAGCCGACUUCCCUCGUCCUGCCUCCAGAGCAGCCCAAGCCCUGUGGUGGAGCAGGAUGAGGGACCCCAGGUGUCUUCCAGGUGAUCCAGUCAAGUUGACAAUGACGAUUAACCAUCACAGAGGAUGGCUUGAUGCCAAAGGGAGAGCAUCAGACGAGGGGGAGCAUCAAGUGACAGAGUUGGUAGAUCUUAAAGGAGUGUGUGUGUGUACUAUAUAUACUAUAUGUACAUGCAUUCGUACAUAUAGUUGGGACUCCAUAGAGAGAAAUACACCAAAAAAACUUCUGGUGGUGUGUGCGGUUUGUUGCUGCUUCCACAGACUCAGGCUGAUUGAUGAGUGAUGUCAGCUGGGACAGACUCAUGUGGUGAGGCAAGACACUUGCUGAGGCAAGCCCUGUGGAGAACACAUUAUGUUUGCAGGGUAUAAAUAGGGCUCAACUGACAGUGAUGGAGGCUGAGCUUGGCUUGCUUGCAUAGCUAAAUGCUUGUUGGUCUUGUAUCUUCGCUAAUCUUCACUCUUUGCUGAGAGAAGCACCGAGAGAAGAACUCUUCCUGGUAUUCCUGUUGGCCCUGGUCCCUCUUGCUGACUUAGGCUGUGACUGAAGCCUGGCUUUCUUUGCUAAGUAGUGUCACUGCUGCUGAUCUGUGUUUGCUGUCCCAAUGCUACCGAACUGGACUGUGAAGUGUUUGUGAGUGGAUUGAACUGCUGCUGCUAACCUGUGAGCUGAACUGCCAAUUUCCAGACAACAGAGAAGAGAAUUGCUCUAAAGAUCCAUUCCCAAACAGGUGCAUCUCCCCCAUAUCCUUUCUUUGCCACUACCUCUUGUGUACUAAAAGGAAGGUUAAAGCAUUUAAGAAUCAUCAUUAAAAAUAGGAUUUGAAAAUACUAAAGUAAUACUCAUCAGCAAUCAAAGAACAAUGAUCAAUAGAGAAACAAGUUCAAAUCCUGUUCCAUCUGGGAGGAGCAACUCACUGUAGAGAUAUUGCUGUAAAAGUUGUACUACCUGAAUCCAACUUUUAAGGAAACACCAGAUAAAUCCAAAAUGGGAACAUUUUGCAAUGUAAGUGGCCUGUUGUCUUCAAGUUUCAAGAUCAUGAAACUGGGGCAGGUGAGAUGGUGUGGCUGGGGCAGGUGAGAUGGGACAGCUGGUGCAGGUGAGAUGGCACAGCUGGGGCAGGUGAGAUGGCACAGCUGGGGCAGGUGAGAUGGCACAGCUGGGGCAGGUGAGAUGGCACAGCUGGUGCAGGUGAGAUGGCACAGCUGGGGCAGGUGAGAUGGCACAGCUGGUGCAGGUGAGAUGGCACAGCUGGGG
rnacentral:lncRNA from 14 species